AAAUGAAUAGACGGGGGCCCGCACAAGAGGUGGAUUAUGUGGUUUAAUUCGAAGCAACGCGCAGAACCUUACCUAGGCUUGACAUCCCAUGACAAACGUAGAAAUACGUCUUUGUAGCAAUACACAUGGAGACAGGUGCUGCAUGGCUGUCGUCAGCUCGUGUUGUGAAAUGUUGGGUUAAGUCCCGCAACGAGCGCAACCCCUGGAUUUAGUUGCCAGCAUUAAGUUGGGCACUCUAAAUUAACUGCCAGCGUUAAGCUGGAGGAAGGUGGGGAUGACGUCAAGUCCUCAUGGCCCUUACGCCUAGGGCUACACACGUAAUACAAUGGAUAGGACAAAGGGUCGCGAACUCGCAAGAGGGAGCUAAUCUCAAAAACCUAUCCUCAGUUCGGAUUGGGGGCUGCAAUUCGCCCCCAUGAAGGCGGAAUCUCUAGUAAUCGUGGAUCAGAACGCCACGGUGAAUACGUUCCCGGGCCUUGCACACACCGCCCGU
rnacentral:rRNA from 1 species